rnacentral:rRNA from 1 species
ACUCCUACGGGAGGCAGCAGUGGGGAAUUUUGGACAAUGGGCGCAAGCCUGAUCCAGCCAUGCCGCGUGAGUGAAGAAGGCCUUCGGGUUGUAAAGCUCUUUCAGCCGGGAAGAAAACGCAUGGGUUAAUACCCUGUGUGGAUGACGGUACCGGAAUAAGAAGCACCGGCUAACUACGUGCCAGCAGCCGCGGUAAUACGUAGGGUGCGAGCGUUAAUCGGAAUUACUGGGCGUAAAGCGUGCGCAGGCGGUUUUGUAAGACAGGCGUGAAAUCCCCGGGCUCAACCUGGGAACUGCGUUUGUGACUGCAAGGCUAGAGUAUGGCAGAGGGGGGUGGAAUUCCACGUGUAGCAGUGAAAUGCGUAGAGAUGUGGAGGAACACCGAUGGCGAAGGCAGCCCCCUGGGCCAAUACUGACGCUCAUGCACGAAAGCGUGGGUAGCAAACAGGAUUAGAUACCCUGGUAGUCCACGCCCUAAACGAUGUCAACUAGGUGUUGGGUGGGUAAAACCAUUUAGUACCGGAGCUAACGCGUGAAGUUGACCGCCUGGGGAGUACGGCCGCAAGGUUAAAACUCAAAUGAAUUGACGGA